UGGGGAAUCUUGCGCAAUGGGCGAAAGCCUGACGCAGCAACGCCGCGUGCGGGAAGAAGGCUUUAGGGUUGUAAACCGCUUUCAGCAGGGAAGAAAAUGACGGUACCUGCAGAAGAAGGUGCGGCCAACUACGUGCCAGCAGCCGCGGUGACACGUAGGCACCAAGCGUUGUCCGGAUUUAUUGGGCGUAAAGAGCUCGUAGGCGGUUCAGUAAGUCGGGUGUGAAAACUCUGGGCUUAACCCAGAGCCGCCACCCGAUACUGCUGUGACUUGAGUCCGGUAGGGGAGCGGGGAAUUCCUGGUGUAGCGGUGAAAUGCGCAGAUAUCAGGAGGAACACCGGUGGCGAAGGCGCCGCUCUGGGCCGAGACUGACGCUGAGGAGCGAAAGCAUGGGUAGCAA
rnacentral:rRNA from 1 species